rnacentral:rRNA from 1 species
GGGGAAUAUUGCACAAUGGGGGAAGCCCUGAUGCAGCGACGCCGCGUGAGUGAAGAAGCGCCUCGGCGCGUAAAGCCCUGUCAGCAGGAACGAUAAUGACGGUACUUGAGGAGGAAGCCCCGGCUAACUACGUGCCAGCAGCCGCGGUAAUACGUAGGGGGCUAGCGUUAUCCGGAAUUACUGGGCGUAAAGGGUGCGUAGGUGGUUUCUUAAGUCAGAGGUGAAAGGCUACGGCUCAACCGUAGUAAGCCUUUGAAACUGGGAAACUUGAGUGCAGGAGAGGAGAGUGGAAUUCCUAGUGUAGCGGUGAAAUGCGUAGAUAUUAGGAGGAACACCAGUUGCGAAGGCGGCUCUCUGGACUGUAACUGACACUGAGGCACGAAAGCGUGGGGAGC